GCCUGAGUUGCCUGAAAAGCUUGCAUAGUGUAAUCUCUGUUCAGUUAGCCAAUAAAAGGGGUCAUUUUGCGUGACUUCUCGGUACAACUAUAAUGUCUAACACGGUACAACACCCUAGUGCUACAGACAUAAUUUGCCAACUGUAAUAAAUGUAUUAAUGCUUUUGUAGUCAAUUGAGCCGAAGGGCAAUCUCAUCUCUUUGCUGUUUACCUGUGCCUAGUGUGUUGUAGAAAACGUCGGAGUUUAAAGUAGCGCCAGGUUAAAUGUUUCCAUCAGAGUCUCACAGGAUGAGUGAUCAUACCUUCACGUUUGUAGUCCAAUACCUAAGCCACCGGAAGUGUAAUUUAUCAAUUACACUUUCAUCUAAAUUCUAAUUCUAUAAAAAAUAUUUACUGUCCAAACACGCUGCAGCCAUGCCACUCACAAACCUAGUAUCAACAUUCUAUUAUUUUAUAAGUGAUGAUUAUACAAACAUGUUUUAGGUAUAACAUAAAACACACAGUCGAACAAAACUCAAGUACACCAGAGUGGCGUGCUUGUAAAAUUUUAAAUAAAUAGCAAGGAUGAGUAUAGGAAGAACAAAACUAACACAAACUCCUAAACAAAGCCUUGUCUCAGACUAAUAAAUUAGAAAGUGCGGUUUCCUUACUUUGUUUCCACUCCCAGACUUCAAAAAUCAAGGCCCUAUUACUCACCCUAACCUCUGUCUUCAAAUCUGUCUGGCAUCUCCACCUUCCUGGCAGUGGAGCAGUUGCUUCUACAAAAUCCACGGGGCUCCCAGGCAUGGGCGUCAUACUGGGUAGUUGAAAGGGUUAAUGAUUACCCAGAGCCCACUGGGGUGGGAAGGGGGGCCCUCCUAUGAAAAGUUUAUUUUCAAGAGGAAGGGGCCUACAGAGUCUGCUUAUGUUUAGGGCCCAGAUCAUAGUGCCUCUUGGUGUCCCCUGAAACCAUAAAAUAGAAAUGGGCCCUUAAAUACGCAUGGGCCACCUUGAUGUUUCUGCUGGUUUAGCUGGGCCUUGUUAGGUUUCUUUUCUUGCCUUAUUUUUGCAGCUUUGUUUGCUGUGGUUGUGUUUCUGGGGCUCCCCCGAGAGUUUUGGGGGUUACCAGUUCUGACUAAACACAUUAACACUGAUCAGUAGUGAAGGUUCCUUGUAAUUCAUAAGUCCUCUGUUGGGCCCUUUUACUGUACUGUAACUCUGCCUGUGAUGUGUUGUUUUCGACCCUGGCAACCUUACAUUUUAUAUAACGUGUACUGUAUGUGUUUAUAUAAAACUUGACACCCUGAUGUAAUAUAAGAGAGUAAACCAUUUAAAUUCAUUAAGUUCAUUUUUUACCUUUGGCACCAACUGGGACGGGCAUUGCCCAAGAUUAGCACAACAGUCUGCAAUCUUGAUUGUUUUAAUUAUAAUGUUAAAAAAGGGCUGCCCCCUUGAAUUCAAACAAGUCUUUCCACUUGUGACUGUUUUGAUUACUCACAAAGGCUCGUAGGUUUAAUUAACCACACCUGAAUACUUGCACUUUGUGUGGCCAAAUAAAAUACAAGUUAAAAAGAAAGAAAGUGAAACGUAAAGAACCGCAAUGUGUGUGAGGUUCAGGGUGAGUCCAGACACAUCAACCGAGCUUAUGGUUAAGGAAGAAGAUAAAAGAAAAAAAAAACCAAAACAGUCUAUAAAUAUCGCAGUUCACAAUAAACAUUACAGGUCAUUGUCAAUAUCCACAUUCCUGAGGCCUGGAAUCUCAACUCGGACUGGCACCAUAUGACGGAGAAUACAAAGGGAGCCAAAUCCGUGAAAUCUACCGAAGGUUUGUGCCUGCUGUCCACAUCACGAGAGACGGGUUUGAGAUGUUUAUGGAGGACAUCUGGUGUGUACGGUUUAUGCUUUAAAUUACAAACAAAACAAAAGUGGCACGAUGGUCUGUGCUGCUUCCUAACAUCACAUUCAAAUCCCAGCCUGAUCUCUUUCUUCCUUCAUACACCCAUGGAAUUUUCCCAGGAAUCGCAUUUCCUCCCACGUGCCAAAGAUGUGCAUGUUAGCCAAGGUGGCAGUUCUUCAUUGGUUUGGAAAUUGUGAAGGCCUGAAGAAAGGCAGAGUCUAUCCUGGCAGCAUCAAGUACAAGGUAGGAUGCAACCCGGGUUGGCUUGCCAGUCAGUUACUGGGCACACUCCGACACACAGUGACAAUUCCAUUGAGACGCGGCGUGUCUUUGGGAUGUGGGAGAAAACCGACAGGAAUACAAAGAGGAUACACCACCUCCGUCUUGCUGUGUGAAUCUACUGAAAUACGUGUAUACAUCUGCCAACGUGUUUUAUUUUAGAACUGAGAGGUGCAUUUAAUCUGGUGUAGACAUGUCCGAUGUAUGGAAGUCCAGUUUUGGAGUAAAACAAACACAUUGACACGCACAUGUGCAUGGCAGGCAGCUAAAGGGCUCAAAAGAAG